rnacentral:lncRNA from 1 species
GGCAAAUGCUGGUGAUGGCUCCCCCUUGUCCAGCACCUUGUCCAGGAUGUGCCAGGGACGUUUCUACACCCUUUACGCCAUCUUGCUAAGCCAGUCUUCACAACAGCCCCUGACUUGGGGCUCCAUGAUUACCCCGCUUUCGAGAUGGGAGGAAGCAGAUGCGGAGUGAUCAUGUGCCUUGCCCAGGGCUAAGCCACGGACUGGGAGCCAAACCCGGACAACUCCAGCCUUGGCCCAGGAGUCUGGCCUCAGCAUGGGUCCUCCAGGGGGCGCAGCUCAGCACCGGCUUUGGGGAGAUUCCAGGUGCCUGGACUCACAGACCAAGGUGGUCACUCCCCACUGGGCCUGAACAGAACAGAAAGUGGAGGAAGGAAGAACUCGCCCUCCCUGCCUGAUGACUCGAGCUGGGACAUUGAUCUUCUUCUGGCCUCGCGCUCCUGGUUCCCAGGCCUUUGGACUUGGACCGGACUUCACCAGCUUCCCUGUGUCUCUACCUAGAAGACGGUGGAACUUCUCAGCCUGCGUAACUGUGUGAGCCAGUUCCUGGCAAUAAAUCUUUUCC